rnacentral:lncRNA from 1 species
AUGGAAGGAGGGAAUACCACUUUAUUGAAGCUCCACAUGCUGGCUCCGGCCACGCCUAACGCUCACCAGACCUCUCUCCUGAGGGGAUCCAGGCUCCACAACGCCCCCAACAGGAGCCAGGCGGCGCUGCAGCCCGGCCAGCUGGGCAAGGCCGGGCCCGGCGGGGAGGGCAGGCACGCGGUCGCGGGCGGCUCCCUGUCCAGGAGGGGGAGCCAGAGGGCCAGAGACGGCAGCAGUGACUCCGCCCACUCCCAGCAUAACCACGCCCACCGAGGAAGGCGCUCCUCGCACCGGCAGAAGAAGUCCAAAGGCGUCCACUCGUCCAAGCGGCGCCACCACCGCUCGGGGCGGGGCCAGGCCCACCGGCGGAGCCAGUCGGCGUCGCCGGGCCGCCACUCGGCCAGGAAGAGGGCGGGGUCCCGGGGCGGGCAGCAGCCCCGGCAGCGCAGCAGCUCCUGGAGCAGCGGCCGCUCGUCGUCGGGGUCCCCCUCCAGGGACCGGGGGGCCAGCAAGGCCAAGUCUCCCCACAGCCGACAGAACAACUCCAGGGAUCGGGACAGUGCCAACCACUCGGAGGGGGAAGGCCGCGGCGCCCGGCGGCGUUCCCGGAGCUACUCGCCCAUCAGGAAGAGGAGGAGAGACUCCCCCAGCUUCAUGGAGGCCCGCAGGAUAACCAGCGCCCGCAAGAGGCCCAUCCCGUACUACCGGCCCAGCCCCUCGUCCUCUUCCUCGUCCUCCUCUUCGUCGUCGUCCAGCGCGGCCAGCACGCCGUCUCGCAGCCGGAGUCGCAGCCGGAGUCGCAGCCGGAGCCGCAGCUACGGCAGCUACAGCAGCCGCAGCCGCAGUCGGAGCCGGAGGCGUUCCCAUAGCAACCGCAGCUACGACAGCCGCAGUAGCUACGACAGCCCGGGCUUCUGA